rnacentral:rRNA from 1 species
UUUUCAUCAGACAAUCUGUGUGAGCACUGCAAAGUACGCUUCUUUAAGGUAAGGAGGUGAUCCAACCGCAGGUUCCCCUACGGUUACCUUGUUACGACUUCACCCCAGUCAUGAAUCACAAAGUGGUAAGCGCCCUCCCGAAGGUUAAGCUACCUACUUCUUUUGCAACCCACUCCCAUGGUGUGACGGGCGGUGUGUACAAGGCCCGGGAACGUAUUCACCGUGGCAUUCUGAUCCACGAUUACUAGCGAUUCCGACUUCAUGGAGUCGAGUUGCAGACUCCAAUCCGGACUACGACGCACUUUAUGAGGUCCGCUUGCUCUCGCGAGGUCGCUUCUCUUUGUAUGCGCCAUUGUAGCACGUGUGUAGCCCUGGUCGUAAGGGCCAUGAUGACUUGACGUCAUCCCCACCUUCCUCCAGUUUAUCACUGGCAGUCUCCUUUGAGUUCCCGGCCGGACCGCUGGCAACAAAGGAUAAGGGUUGCGCUCGUUGCGGGACUUAACCCAACAUUUCACAACACGAGCUGACGACAGCCAUGCAGCACCUGUCUCACGGUUCCCGAAGGCACAUUCUCAUCUCUGAAAACUUCCGUGGAUGUCAAGACCAGGUAAGGUUCUUCGCGUUGCAUCGAAUUAAACCACAUGCUCCACCGCUUGUGCGGGCCCCCGUCAAUUCAUUUGAGUUUUAACCUUGCGGCCGUACUCCCCAGGCGGUCUACUUAACGCGUUAGCUCCGGAAGCCACGCCUCAAGGGCACAACCUCCAAGUAGACAUCGUUUACGGCGUGGACUACCAGGGUAUCUAAUCCUGUUUGCUCCCCACGCUUUCGCACCUGAGCGUCAGUCUUUGUCCAGGGGGCCGCCUUCGCCACCGGUAUUCCUCCAGAUCUCUACGCAUUUCACCGCUACACCUGGAAUUCUACCCCCCUCUACAAGACUCAAGCCUGCCAGUUUCGAAUGCAGUUCCCAGGUUGAGCCCGGGGAUUUCACAUCCGACUUGACAGACCGCCUGCGUGCGCUUUACGCCCAGUAAUUCCGAUUAACGCUUGCACCCUCCGUAUUACCGCGGCUGCUGGCACGGAGUUAGCCGGUGCUUCUUCUGCGGGUAACGUCAAUUGCUGCGGUUAUUAACCACAACACCUUCCUCCCCGCUGAAAGUACUUUACAACCCGAAGGCCUUCUUCAUACACGCGGCAUGGCUGCAUCAGGCUUGCGCCCAUUGUGCAAUAUUCCCCACUGCUGCCUCCCGUAGGAGUCUGGACCGUGUCUCAGUUCCAGUGUGGCUGGUCAUCCUCUCAGACCAGCUAGGGAUCGUCGCCUUGGUGAGCCGUUACCUCACCAACAAGCUAAUCCCAUCUGGGCACAUCUGAUGGCAAGAGGCCCGAAGGUCCCCCUCUUUGGUCUUGCGACGUUAUGCGGUAUUAGCCACCGUUUCCAGUAGUUAUCCCCCUCCAUCAGGCAGUUUCCCAGACAUUNNNNNNNNNNNNNNNNNNNNCCCGUCCGCCACUCGUCAGCAAAGCAGCAAGCUGCUUCCUGUUACCGUUCGACUUGCAUGUGUUAGGCCUGCCGCCAGCGUUCAAUCUGAGCCAUGAUCAAACUCUUCAAUUUAAAAGUUUGAUGCUCAAUGAAUUAAACUUCGUAAUGAAUUACGUGUUCACUCUUGAGACUUGGUAUUCAUUUUUCGUC